UACAGAGGGGGGCCAGCGUUAUUCGGAAUUAUUGGGCGUAAAGGGCGCGUAGGCGGCCAUGCGUGUCUUCCGUGAAAUCCCUCGGCUUAACUGAGGACGUGCGGAAGAAACUGCAAGGGCUCGAGUCCGGGGAGAGGGGGGGUGGAAUUCCCAGUGUAGCGGUGAAAUGCGUAGAUAUUGGGAGGAACACCGGUGGCGAAGGCGGCCCCCUGGACCCGGUACUGACGGCCGUGAG
rnacentral:rRNA from 1 species